UACCAAUCCGUUCAUCUUGAAAAUUACUUGACUACUAUCUUUUUUCCGGCGACUCAUCUCCCGCCACCCUAGCUCGACGACGGAGGAAAUUAGUUGCCUGUUCUGACCUACCUCAUCGCGAUCUCCACUCGAACUUUCAUGCUCAAAGACCUGCUAGAUAGAUCUUCGAUUCCUGCAAAUCGCUUUGCUUUUUUCUUGCAAAUGAUACGCAUAACUGUCACCUCUCGAAGGAGGUAAUGAACACCUCUAUCUAUGGCGGUUCUUGUAAUCUACUGUUUCUUACUUGCUUCUUUUCGAUGGCGUGUAAUAUCUGUGACUGUUGGAUUGCUGCAUUUCCGAUUCUGUUGACGUAGCUCUGCGAUUCAGUUCAUAACAAGCACGAUUAUUCGUUUUGAUGAAUUCAAUUUUAUGUUCACCACUAACCCUGCAGGUUCUCAAAAUGUAUAACCAUUAGUGCCGCUGGUAGAAGUUAAAGUCUAGCUUAGGGAUAAUCAUAAAGCCUCGACUCAUCAUAGAAUUACCGAAAUGGAUUAGAUUUGAGGACUGACACUUAAAGUUCAACAUAGUCUUCGUGACUAGACUCUUUGUGUUUCCUGAUACCGUGUGUAGUUCUUGGUGCAGCCAGAUCCCGUUUAGUGGCUUUCUUGAUGAUUGAAUUUCGCAGAAUCAUUUGAGUAAGACAAAUUGGGAGCUACUCAGCUAAAUGAUGCUACGUUCCCAUGAGCAUAUUGUCGAUGUUUGUGAACUGCUUUUUGUUGGUAUGACAUCUAAAGAGUUUGCCAAAGAUAUGAUCGAUCGUCAAUCUGUUGGAGAAAAGUAGUCUGCCUUGCUAUCAAUGCAGGCAUUAGCACUCCAGGAAUGUCUUACAGUCUUGCUUACUUCGACACAUACAGAAGGGAGAGUCUGCCAGCUAACUUGGUCUAAGCUCAACGUGAUUACUUCGGAGCACAUACCUACGAGAGGAUCGACAUGCCAAGAUCGUUCCACACCUAACGGUUCAUGAUUGCUUGACGUUCAAAGAUUUAACUUUCAUACAUCACUUUCUCUAUUCUUACCUUGCAACGACACAACUUCAAUGAGAGAAGCCACAUUAUAUGAUAUCUAUCGUCUUGUAGCAUGAAGUACCUUCCAAUGCUAUAAAAAGUUCCAUGCUUUAUUUUCAAAGGAGGAAAAAUUUGAAAUUCGUUAUUUGGUAUUUUACUGGAAAUGCUUUGCUGUCAUUCACGCUCUAAAUUUUCAAUGCUCCUUCCUCUGUUUGUUCCAUCUGGCAUUCCUAAAUUCUCUCACUCUAAUGUUCUAUCCUCUUUUUCUGUUUGGAGUUGUCGUCAUGUGCUUUAGAUAUUUGGUGUUUGUGGAGUUCUUGUGACAGAGCAGUGAAGCCAUAACUACUAACUUAAAUUAUUGUGGUGUAGUUGUUUAACAGUCUGGUUCAAUUAACUUUUUUGAAGGAAACCAACAAAAACAGCUCCUUUUGAUGAUAUGGUAGAAUCUUAUAGUACAACAUUAUGUCCUUAUAUUGUGGAUUGCUACUGUUUUAUCCUGUACCACUCAUGAUACAGCUAGUAUUUUGUCAUCAGCAAUUUAAACUGAGGAUCGAUGUUGCUCUUGAUGGAGCCCGCCACUAUUUUAACCAUGCCUCAACUCCAACUAACUAUUCUCCCUAGAGUCCAUGCAAGAAUGUUCUUCUAUUAGAAAGUCACCUAGGAUAACUUUUUUUAGUUGUUCACUUAUCCUUUACAUCUAGUUUUAACUGUUGUCACCAUUUUGGCUGCUGAGAUUUGAUUGCUAGUUUCUAGUUUUCCAGCAUCACUGUGCUGGUGUGUCUUUGAGUAGAACUAACGACUGAGAACUCAAUCCUCACUUUUCUGCAGAUACAAAGUAUCAUCAGAAAGAAGGAUACCUUGGCACUCUGCCAUGAUCACAUAUGAAGUUUCAGAGUAAUGCUUCCUGAUUAUUAUGUUAUGUGAUGAUCAGCAAACAAAAUACUACCCUUGUCUGUUAGUGAAACAAUCCCAAUUUAUGAAUAUAGGGAGUUCCUCUGAGGGUGACUUCAUUCGCAGUUGGAUAAUGACUCUUCCAGUUUACGCCAAGUGUCUCAAGUGUAGAAGCUCACUACAUGAUGUAUUCUGCCUUGUUUUUUCAGAUCUCUUGACACGUACAGGUACGUUUGCAUUAUUAACUCUCCUAUGGUUGCUGAUCCAUAGCUCAUUAAUGUUCUCUUGUCUUAUCUGUGUCACGUGUUUGCUUACUGUUAUAAUUCUGCUAAAUCCUUAUUUUCAAAGACCCUCUCACGCACUUAACUAGAAUUUAGUUUUUCUUCCCUUGUGUUUUCUGUUGAGUUUGGGAAAGCUCAAUUGGUAGGUAGCUCUUUCCACCCUUCUUAAACCCAAAUUUAAUUUUCAAACUGAAGUAGCUUCGCGGAUUAUGGCUCGACAGUCGACUGAUAGGUUGUCCUGAAUGGUUGUUUCUUGUAUACUAACACACGUAAGCACAAACCAAGAGAGACUAAAGAUGAAAAUGGAAGUUUAGUUAUCUAGACUGCAACACAUGUACAUGAUACUAAGACUAUGGAGAUUUACAUUUCUGAUCCAAAAUUAAACACUGCCAAAUUCAGGUACUCAACAAUUAGAGUGAAAAUCUUGAAUCUACACUAAAGAGGGAGUUAAGGCUUGAGGUGUCAUGACUCAUGACUUGCAUUCCCUCAUAGGAUAUUGUACAUGGUCACAUGCAUCAGUUUUUGUAAUUUUGCUUACAGUCAAACUGAAGAAUGAUAAGAACAAAAACCCACUAACAGUUCAUCCCAAUAAGAAAACAGAAAGAUUAGACCUUCUCUGUUUUAGGCUCCAUCUUCUUGGUUUUCUGGACCUUCAAUCCAUUGUGGCUAGCUGCACUUUUUGCAUAUACCAUGCACUCUUCUCUAUCCACCUUGAUCCUUGCUUCAUCUCUUUGCUUCCCAAAUUUAUGGUCUUUCCUUGAUGAGCAAAACACAGCCUUCUUUUGGGUGCUUGGAAGUUCAGAAUGACUUGGGCCAGAUGAGGCAUCUGAGACCAUUGAGUCAUCGCUCUCUCCUUCAUCAUCCUCUUCUUCAUUACUUCCAUAGCCAUAGCCAGUAUUCUUGUGAUUCACUUGCUUUUUAUGCAUGCAAUCUUCAUCUUCAUAACACCAGGAGCCAAGAUAGUCUGUCCAUCCAGACUCAAUGGCUUUAGUCCCACUCAAAUUCUUUGAACUUCCCAGAACAUGGGAAGAAGAAUUCAUCCUUGUAGCUAGAGAAGAAAGGCAAGAGAACAAAUGUGGAAUGAUGAACACUGCAAAGAGAGAAGACAUUAGAGUUUCACAGUAUGAGAUAAAAACUCAUCCUCUGGCCAGUAGUGGUAGCCAGGGAAACUAGUAGUAGUCACUUUGGGAAUUACAACUUAUGACCAUUUAUUAAAGACUGGGAACUCAACUGUACAGAUGAAAAUAAAAAUCCCUCCUUCCAUAAAGGAAGAUUUCACCACCUGUCCAAUCCUAGAACCAUAUAGUUUUUAAACACUAAAGGACAAAGCUUUUUGUAGAGUGGUAAAAGAAAUGAGAGAGCUUUUUUAUAAAUUGGACCCUCUAUCCAUUCUUAAAUGGCCAGCUCACCUUUAUAAGAACCUCUUGCUCCUUUACUCCUCUGGCCAAUAUAGGUGAAGAACCAGCACUAGUAGCUCUCAAGGUUGCUACAACACAGAGAGAAAGGAAACUGUUGAUACCCUAUUUCUCUGCAUUAACAGUGAUCAAACAGUGAUCUCAACGUCUGCUUUUUCAACCCCUAGCUGUCAUUAAAGUAACAAUUUUCAUACAAAACCCUUGAUCCAAAAAAGGGUAAUUUUGUGCUUUUCUUUCUUCAAUUUUAAUUGCGGUUUUUGCAUGUUUAUGAUUUCCAGUAGGUCUAUUCUUGUCUACUCUUUCCCAUAGUUGGCUUAGGUUAACAGUUGGAUUCCACUAAUGUAUAAAUUCACUGGCAUUUACUGGCUAUAGACUAGUCAUUGGAUCAAUACAAAACAGAAAGAGGAGAGGCAAUCUCCCUCCUGGCCAGCAUCAUUAUUGUUUCUCUUACCCUUUGCCAAAUGGAGAUUGUGACUUGUCUGAAUCAAUAAAUCCCCCCACACAUUGAACUGAAAUUUUCCCUUUUGGAAGUUUCUCCUCGUUUGAUCAUUUGCUAUACACGUUAAGACAAAUGGACCCAUAUGAAAUUUUUUGAAAAAGAUUUAUGCUUUGGCUUGGUAUUAUCCAGAGAAACUGCCUGGAGAAUGUUUCCCCUCGGAUAGAAGAAAGUUUAACAUUUCUUGCUUAGGGAUGGUUAAUAUUCAUCUGAUCAUUUUCCAGCUAAGGCUCUCUCUGUGUAGGUUGCAGGAAUCUGGAAUGUGGAAUCUGAAUUCUCUCACCCACUAAGAGGGAAAGUCUUGUCGUCCUGGGAAACAGAGGAAAGUGCAUAGAAAAUUUAUGAUGGUCACAUGCUUGUGUUUCCCUCCCUCAGGUCUCAGCCCAACAGUAACCACUCUUGCCGAGGGAAGUUAAGCCAAGUUGUGCCCAUGGAUUUGACAAUUCUGGGAUUUUGGAACCCAGCUAGCUAUCUUUACUGUCCAUGUUUAUGAACUUAGUUAUUACGAGUUUUGAAAUGUGAUUGGGUUCUUCUUGUUCUGACCAGUUAUGUUACUUGGUUUGGUAGGUGGGAAGUUUAUGUAAUUUUGAGCAUUUGGUUGGAUGGGAGAGUUAAAUAUUGACAAAGUGAUUUUUGAAAGCGAACUUUUCUCUUAUCAUUUGAAUUCCAUCCAACAUGUCAUAUGUAGGUUUAUAUACAAAGGUGUUCAAUGUUCAAUAUGCAAGGGUGUCACUUGAACUAGUUAAGUUUGCUCCUCAAUCAUUUGGUUCAUAAGGGGUCGAUACUAC
rnacentral:lncRNA from 1 species